rnacentral:rRNA from 1 species
AUUGAACGCUGGCGGCAGGCCUAACACAUGCAAGUCGAGCGAGCGGCGGACGGGUGAGUAAUGUCUGGGAAACUGCCUGAUGGAGGGGGAUAACUACUGGAAACGGUAGCUAAUACCGCAUACUAUCAGAUGAGCCUAGGUCGGAUUAGCUAGUUGGUGGGGUAAAGGCCUACCAAGGCGACGCUACGUAACUGGUCUGAGAGGAUGAUCAGUCACACGGGAACUGAGACACGGUCCAGACUCCUACGUGAGGCAGCAGUGGGGAAUAUUGGACAAUGGGCGAAAGCCUGAUGCAGCCAUGCCGCGUGUGUGAAGAAGGCCUUCGGGUUGUAAAGCACUUUCAGCGGGGAGGCGUUACCCGCAGAAGAAGCACCGGCUAACUCCGUGCCAGCAGCCGCGGUAAUAC